UACGUAGGGGGCAAGCGUUGUCCGGAAUCAUUGGGCGUAAAGAGCGUGUAGGCGGUCCGAUAAGUCGGUUGUGAAAGUCCAGGGCUCAACCCUGGGAUGCCGACCGAUACUGUCGGACUAGAGUUCGGAAGAGGCGAGUGGAAUUCCUGGUGUAGCAGUGAAAUGCGCAGAUAUCAGGAGGAACACCAAUGGCGAAGGCAGCUCGCUGGGACGGUACUGACGCUGAGACGCGAAAGCGUGGGGAGCAAACGG
rnacentral:rRNA from 1 species